rnacentral:rRNA from 1 species
GAUGAACGCUGGCGGUAUGCUUAACACGUGCAAGUCGAACGGUCACUUCGGUGAUAGUGGCGGACGGGUGAGUAACGCGUGAGAAUCUGUCUUCAGGUCGGGGACAACAGUUAGAAAUGACUGCUAAUACCGGAUGUGCCUUAUGGUGAAAGAUUUAUUGCCUGAAAAAGAGCUCGCGUCAGAUUAGCUAGCAGGUGGUGUAAGAGACUACCUAGGCGACGAUCUGUAGCUGGUCUGAGAGGACGAUCAGCCACACUGGAACUGAGACACGGUCCAGACUCCUACGGGGAGGCAGCAGUGGGGAAUUUUCCGCAAUGGGCGAAAGCCUGACGGAGCAAUACCGCGUGAGGGACGAAGGCUUUUAGGGGUCGUAAAACCUCGUUUUUCUCAAGGAAGAUGAUGACGGUACUUGAGGAAUAAGCAUCGGCUAACUCUGUGCCAGCAGCCGCGGUAAU